GCCCGCUUUCCUCCUUUCUGUAAUAUGAGGUUGUGAUGGUUGGAGCUGUGGCAAUCAUGAUAAAACCGUGAGGCACAACCUGGAGGCCAAAAAGCUGACACACCGAAGAUGCCAGCACAGAAAGAUGACAAGAGCCAGACCUGGAUGAUAUAGUUGAGCUGCUGAAUGAAACCUGGGGUUGCCUACCUACAGGCUUCUUACAAUAUGAGAUAAAUGCCUCUAUUGCUUAAAUUGCUCUUAAAGGAACCAUCCCUCUCUCCUCACAUCCUGUGGCUUGGAAAGUAUUGAUCCUGCCUCUGCAACUCCAGGUGGACAUGUUUCAGCCCUGGGCAAUCAGAACACUUCUUUCUCCACCAGUCCACUACUCCCUCCAAGGUGAUUGAUGCAGGGAUAAAAACAUGACCCAAUCCAGGCCAAUGACAACCUACCCCAGGGGCUUUUGCUGCAACUACUGGGAAAGACUUUUGCUGCUGAGAUUGCUGAGCUGGUCCAGUCGGCUCAGAGAAAAACGAGCUAAUCAGAGACCAAGUUCUGAUGAAUCAUGUGAGUCUGAGUCCUGUCAAAACUUAAGUCAAAACCACUUCUGAACUUUUCAGUUACAUGAACUUAAAAAAUUAUUUUUGCUUAAGUUAUAAGCAAAAGUUAUAAGCAAAAGUAUGAGUUGAUGAAUUCUAAUACCUUUUGUAGUCCCAUGAGAUAGUCACAAAUCAAAAGUCUAGUGGUGGACAAACUUUAAGGAAAAUGAAGUUAUGGGUCACAUUUCUUAAAAAGUCCUUUAUCUGUGACUGCCCUAAGAGUCUUGUCAUUUCUCUGUUCUCAACAGGCUUUUUCUUCUAAUAUUGCAAACUCUUUGGCCCAGACUAGAUAUUGAUUAUAAUGCCUGUAGUGUUCACUACUGAAUCCCAGCGCCUAGCACAUAGGCGGUGCCUUGUAAUUAUUUGUCCAAUGAAUAUACGAACAAGAUACUCA